AACGAACGCUGGCGGCAUGCCUAACACAUGCAAGUCGAACGAGACCUUCGGGUCUAGUGGCGCACGGGUGCGUAACGCGUGGGAACCUGCCCUUAGGUUCGGAAUAACUCCCCGAAAGGGGUGCUAAUACCGGUUAAUGUCUUCGGACCAAAGAUUUAUCGCCUUUGGAUGGGCCCGCGUUGGAUUAGCUAGUUGGUAGGGUAAAAGCCUACCAAGGCGACGAUCCAUAGCUGGUCUGAGAGGAUGAUCAGCCACACUGGGACUGAGACACGGCCCAGACUCCUCGGGGGGGCAGCAGGGGGAAAUAUUGGACAGUGGGAAAAAGCCUGAUCCAGCAAUGCCGCGUGAGGAAUGAAGGCCUUGGGGUUGAAAACCUUUUUUCCCCGGGAUGAUAAUGACGGUACCGGGAAAAUAAGCUCCGGCUAACUCCGUG
rnacentral:rRNA from 1 species